AGAGUUUGAUCAUGGCUCAGAUUGAACGCUGGCGGCAGGCUUAACACAUGCAAGUCGAGCGGUAACAUUCCUAGCUUGCUAGGAGAUGACGAGCGGCGGACGGGUGAGUAAUGCUUGGGAAUAUGCCUUGAAGUGGGGGACAACAGUUGGAAACGACUGCUAAUACCGCAUAAAGUCUACGGACCAAAGGAGGGGAUUCUUCGGAACCUUUCGCUUCUUGAUUAGCCCAAGUGAGAUUAGCUAGUUGGUAAGGUAAAGGCUUACCAAGGCGACGAUCUCUAGCUGGUUUGAGAGGAUGAUCAGCCACACUGGGACUGAGACACGGCCCAGACUCCUACGGGAGGCAGCAGUGGGGAAUAUUGCACAAUGGGGGGAACCCUGAUGCAGCCAUGCCGCGUGUGUGAAGAAGGCCUUCGGGUUGUAAAGCACUUUCAGUUGCGAGGAAAGGUAUUGUCUUAAUACGGCAAUGCUGUGACGU
rnacentral:rRNA from 1 species